GGAGUUGUGGCUCAGUGAUAGAGCGCUCGUCUAGCAUGUGCGAAGAAGCCCUGGGUUCGAUCCUCAGCACCA
rnacentral:tRNA from 1 species